rnacentral:rRNA from 1 species
AUUGAACGCUGGCGGCAGGCCUAACACAUGCAAGUCGAACGCGUCGCGGACGUGUGAGUAAUGUCUGGGAACCUGCCUGAUGGCGGGGGAUAACUACUGGAACCGGUAGCUAAUACCGCAUACCAUCCGAUGUUCCCAGAUGGGAUUAGCUAGUAGGUGGGGUAAAGGCUUACCAAGGCGACGAUCCCUAGCUGGUCUGAGAGGAUGAACAGCCACACUGGAACUGAGACACGGUCCAGACUCCUACGGGAGGCAGCAGUGGGGAAUAUUGCACAAUGGGCGCAAGCCUGAUGCAGCCAUGCCGCGUGUAUGAAGAAGGCCUUCGGGUCGUAAAGUACUUUCAGCGGGGAGGCGGUACCUGCAGAAGAAGCACCGGCUAACUCCGUGCCAGCAGCCGCGGUAAUAC